rnacentral:rRNA from 1 species
AUUGAACGCUGGCGGCAUGCCUUACACAUGCAAGUCGAACGGCAGCAUGGAAGAGCUUGCUCUUCUGAUGGCGAGUGGCGAACGGGUGAGUAAAGCAUCGGAACGUACCGUGUAGUGGGGGAUAACGUAGCGAAAGUUACGCUAAUACCGCAUACGCACUGAGGUGGAAAGCAGGGGAUCGCAAGACCUUGCGCUAUACGAGCGGCCGAUGUCAGAUUAGCUAGUUGGUAGGGUAAAGGCCUACCAAGGCGACGAUCUGUAGCGGGUCUGAGAGGAUGAUCCUGCACAUUGGGACUGAGACACGGGCCAGACUCCUACGGGAGGCAGCAGUGGGGAAUUUUGGACAAUGGGCGAAAGCCUGAUCCAGCCAUGCCGCGUGAGUGAAGAAGGCCUUCGGGUUGUAAAGCUCUUUCGGCUGGGAAGAAAUCGCACAGGCUAAUACUCUGUGUGGAUGACGGUACCAGCACAAGAAGCACCGGCUAACUACGUGCCAGCAGCCGCAGUAA